UACGUAGGGUGCGAGCGUUGUCCGGAAUUACUGGGCGUAAAGAGCUCGUAGGUGGUUUGUCGCGUUGUCCGUGAAAACUCACAGCUCAACUGUGGGCGUGCGGGCGAUACGGGCAGACUGGAGUACUGCAGGGGAGACUGGAAUUCCUGGUGUAGCGGUGGAAUGCGCAGAUAUCAGGAGGAACACCGGUGGCGAAGGCGGGUCUCUGGGCCGUAACUGACGCUGAGGAGCGAAAGCGAGGGGAGCGAACGGG
rnacentral:rRNA from 1 species